rnacentral:rRNA from 1 species
UGGGGAAUUUUGGACAAUGGACGCAAGUCUGAUCCAGCCAUGCCGCGUGCGGGAAGAAGGCCUUCGGGUUGUAAACCGCUUUUGUCAGGGAAGAAACGAGUUUCUCUAAUACAGAGACUUAAUGACGGUACCUGAAGAAUACGCACCGGCUAACUACGUGCCGGCAGCCGCGGUAAUACGUAGGGUGCGAGCGUUAAUCGGAAUUACUGGGCGUAAAGCGUGCGCAGGCGGUGAUGUAAGACAGAUGUGAAAUCCCCGGGCUCAACCUGGGACCUGCAUUUGUGACUGCAUCGCUGGAGUGCGGCAGAGGGGGAUGGAAUUCCGCGUGUAGCAGUGAAAUGCGUAGAUAUGCGGAGGAACACCGAUGGCGAAGGCAAUCCCCUGGGCCAGUACUGACGCUCAUGCACGAAAGCGUGGGGAGCAAACA